CUGAAACGCUAGCAACAUUUUCCACAACUUUUUCUUUGCCCUCGCAUUUUCAACUUAAACCCACCUUGUUGCUUUAUUUUUUUUUAUUUAUUUUUCAUUGUCAGAGCAGUGACUUUACGAAAAACAAGUGAAGCGGAGGAGACAACACCCAUGAACCAUCUACAAGGUAUUUUUCAUAUCUAAACUUCUAGGGUUAUGGUUUUGUUUCACCUUUUUCUCAAUCCUUCUCCCUAGUCAGGUUAGGGUUAGGGAUUUCGUCAUUCCACUCUUUAUGUUCGCUUUGAUCCGUUUAAUUAUUUAUUUUAUUGAAGAAACUUUGAUUGUGGUUUGUGGAUAUGCAUGCCAUAGGUAGUGACUGGAAUAUUGCAGGUACUUUAUGUGUUACUGAAUACAAACCCUUUAAUUAGUGAACAUGGUCAACAAAAGCAUAUUGUAUUGUAAAUUCAUGAGCCUGACGAGAUCCAUCUGGUUUUAUUGUUUCCAAUUUAACAUAUUAGGUCGAUUUUAGUUAUGUGUAACUUUUUUAAUUGAUGAUGAUGGUGUGCUCAUGACUUCUAUGAUCCGUUCAAUAUGUAGUAGAUACAUGCAAGUGCAUGUCUAGCCUUCCAUGGCUUCCAAAAGCUUUGACAUUUGAUUUAGAGAAUAAGUACUUACAAAAAGUUUCUUAAAAAAUUAUAUACAAUGAAAUCCAUAUUCAAUCAUAAAGAAUAAUCCAAUAUCAUAAACCAAGAAUAUUUGGUAAUACGUAAUCUUCAGUUCAAGAGGAAGUCUGACUGUCACGGAAGCUAAGAGGUAGGAUAAACCACAAUAAUUGAAGGAUAAAUGAAGGCUUUCCUUUCCGUGUUGGAAAAGAAAAGGGAGUCAAUUGCGAGGUGGAUGCUACCACCGAUGUAACAUCUAUAAAUAAGGGGCCGGUACGUCGACCUACGAAGGUACAAAACAAUUCCCUACUCAAUUGUUUUUUUUUCUUAUUUAUUGUCAAGAACUAACUUGACCGUCGGAGAUUCUUAGGCCGGUACCACACUAGUGCCCCUCCGAUUACUUUCUCUCUUCUUUUUCAGAUAUGACACUGUUCCAGAUCGCUGCGAAUUCAUUCAUCAACAUUUGGGAGAUAGAGAGAGAAAGAAAGAUCCGAUUUAUGCCGUGAAAUUGAAAUUAAUUGAUGGCUCUCGACUAUGCUGAUGACAAUAAACUGCCUUUAUUCGCUAAUUUGACUUGGUUGGGGCCGCAUGUUCCAAUUGCUAUGGUUGGAAACGUCUACUGGUUUUGUUCAAUAGCAUGCCAAACCUGGCAUAUCUUGAUUUGACUAGAUUGAAGAAUUGUGAAGAUAAUGCUUUUGAGGAUUUCAAUUUUAUUGAACAAGAAGUGGUGCCUUGUUGUCUGUCAAUGCAUCUUCAAAAAAUUGGAAUUCGUGGAUUUCGGGGGCUGAGUGAUGAGCUGAAGCUGACAGAGUAUUUUCUAAGAAAUUGCAAUGUAUUGCAUAAGAUGGCAAUUGUAAAUUUUUAUUUAGAUGAAAAUCAAGAGAGAGAAUUUCUCAAGAAAGUGGAAAUGUUUCCUAGAAGUUCAAGAAACUGUCAAAUUAUUCUUGAGAAAGAACAAGAAGUUUCCUGACAUGGAAUCAAGUGGGCUCCCAUCUUAUUUUGCAUCUGUUCUCUUUGUAUUGAAAGACUAUGAAAUUGUGUUUGUUACAUUUAUUCCUGAUGAGACAGUUGUUUGAUUUUUGUUUGGAAUACUCCUUUUAUACUGUGUUUGUACAUCAGGUAGAGAGUCAAUGUUUUCACUUGCAAGGUUUUGCUUAUAAUGACUUUAGAAUCUAAUUCCCGGUGAAGAUUGAAGUUUCUUGUAACCUUUGCGCUUUCCCUUUUCUCUUUCUCUGUGGAAACAGCAGCAGAUUAUGGUAUUAGCUCGAUUUCAGUCAACAAAAUGGAAGCAGCAGUGCAUCGAGUUGAUGGAUUUGUGGUUCGCUGUGUUGGUCUAUUUUGAAGAAAAGAAAAUGGGGCCCUCAGGUUGUGGUUAAUAUGGUUGUGAAUCUCUGCUACAAGAAUGUUCUGAAGCUAGUAGUUAGAUUUGAUUGUUUCAGGUAUGAGAAACAAAGAGUAUCCUAAUCAUUGGUUCAGAUCUUCACAAGGGAUGCCAAAGCUCAAGUUUGAUGCGGCGAGCCGCGUAUAAUGCUCCUUCAACGGAGUGUGGUGGAGGCUUUGUCAAGAUUGCAGUUUUGGAGACUUUGAAGCAUGUUUGUAGUUUUUGAUUCACCAUUUCAGUUUCUAAGCUCCUGCUUUCUGUCUCUAGAACUGUGAGAAUAAUUGAUCAUGAGGAUUUCAAUUUUGUUGAACAAGCAAGUGGUGCCUUAUUGAAUUUUUUGGAUUUCGGGGGCUAAGUGAUGAGCUGAAGCUGAUAAGAGUAUGUUUUGAGAAAUGGCACAAUAUUGCAUUUGUUGGCAAUUAAUUUUUUAAUUCAAAAGAAAAGCACAAGAGAGAGUUUCUCAAGAAGCUGCUAUAGUUUCCUGUGGUACAGUAUUAUUUUCAAAUUUUGAGUCUCAUUUUCAAAAUAAAAAUGCUUUUAAAUAGUAAAGAAGCAAUCCUAAACGGGCUCUGAUCCUUAAUUCCACACAAAAAGUCAUGUUAAAGUGAAAAAAAA